ACGAGCGCAACCCUCGUCCUUAGUUGCCAUCAUUAAGUUGGGCACUUUAAGGAGACUGCCGGUGACAAACCGGAGGAAGGUGGGGAUGACGUCAAGUCAUCAUGCCCCUUACAUCCUGGGCUACACACGUACUACAAUGCAACGGACAAAGGGCAGCCAACUAGCGAUAGUGCGCAAAUCCCAUAAACCGUUGCUCAGUUCAGAUUGCAGGCUGCAACUCGCCUGCAUGAAGGCGGAAUCGCUAGUAAUCGCAGGUCAGCAUACUGCGGUGAAUACGUUCCCGGGCCUUGUACACACCGCCCGU
rnacentral:rRNA from 1 species